GAUGUGUUUCCUGGGCAGUGGACCAGAUGAGACAUAUGUGUGAGUGUGUGCAUGUGUGUGCAUGCAGAUAAUUUCCCUUGCAUUAAUAAAAAAAAGUGAGCCUACAGUUGGUUGAUCAUCAGUGUAUCCAUCCAAUGUAUGGCAACUUGUGUUGAGUGACCAACUUUACACAGGGUCUCAUUUUCACUCCCUCCUCUCACUUUUGUUGGGCGUUGCUAAGAAGUGGAAGCGUGGAUCAUUUUCUGAGUUGCUUCCCUGCUCCUGUUCACCUUCUGACAUGCAGCAGGCUGAGAAAUAUUCCAGAAUAGAAUGUCUUUUAUUUUAAUACGUUGUCACAACUGCGUUGGAGAUGCAAUGAAAUCAUGGCAAGCUUCCCACCAUCCACGAAGGAAAUAAAAGAGAAUCCUGCUGGUGUGAGAACCAUUGUACUGGGGACAUCUUGCCAUGCUGAUAAUGAUAGAAGAAUAAAAUGCUCUGCUGUGAAAAAGAUACAUUCUAGCAAGCAGUCUUCAUUGCUGUCCAAAUGCCAGCAUGGCUUAUUAUUUUCUAAUGAAAUGAAAUAUAUUCGUGCUCUC